rnacentral:rRNA from 1 species
AGACCCGAAACCCGGUGAUCUAGCCAUGGGCAGGUUGAAGGUUGGGUAACACUAACUGGAGGACCGAACCGACUAAUGUUGAAAAAUUAGCGGAUGACCUGUGGCUGGGGGUGAAAGGCCAAUCAAACCGGGAGAUAGCUGGUUCUCCCCGAAAGCUAUUUAGGUAGCGCCUCGUGAAUUCAUCUCCGGGGGUAGAGCACUGUUUCGGCUAGGGGGCCAUCCCGGCUUACCAACCCGAUGCAAACUGCGAAUACCGGAGAAUGUUAUCACGGGAGACACACGGCGGGUGCUAACGUCCGUCGUGAAGAGGGAAACAACCCAGACCGCCAGCUAAGGUCCCAAAGUCAUGGUUAAGUGGGAAACGAUGUGGGAAGGCACAGACAGCCAGGAUGUUGGCUUAGAAGCAGCCAUCAUUUAAAGAAAGCGUAAUAGCUCACUGGUCGAGUCGGCCUGCGCGGAAGAUGUAACGGGGCUAAACCAUGCACCGAAGCUGCGGCAGCGACGUUUAUGCGUUGUUGGGUAGGGGAGCGUUCUGUAAGCCUGCGAAGGUGGCCUGUGAGGGUUGCUGGAGGUAUCAGAAGUGCGAAUGCUGACAUAAGUAACGAUAAAGCGGGUGAAAAGCCCGCUCGCCGGAAGACCAAGGGUUCCUGUCCAACGUUAAUCGGGGCAGGGUGAGUCGACCCCUAAGGCGAGGCCGAAAGGCGUAGUCGAUGGGAAACGGGUUAAUAUUCCCGUACUUGGUGUUACUGCGAAGGGGGGACGGAGAAGGCUAUGUUGGCCGGGCGACGGUUGUCCCGGUUUAAGCGUGUAGGCUGGUUUUCCAGGCAAAUCCGGAAAAUCAAGGCUGAGGCGUGACGACGAGGCACUACGGUGCUGAAGCAACAAAUGCCCUGCUUCCAGGAAAAGCCUCUAAGCAUCAGGUAACAUCAAAUCGUACCCCAAACCGACACAGGUGGUCAGGUAGAGAAUACCAAGGCGCUUGAGAGAACUCGGGUGAAGGAACUAGGCAAAAUGGUGCCGUAACUUCGGGAGAAGGCACGCUGACACGUAGGUGAAGUGAUUUACUCAUGGAGCUGAAGUCAGUCGAAGAUACCAGCUGGCUGCAACUGUUUAUUAAAAACACAGCACUGUGCAAACACGAAAGUGGACGUAUACGGUGUGACGCCUGCCCGGUGCCGGAAGGUUAAUUGAUGGGGUCAGCGCAAGCGAAGCUCCUGAUCGAAGCCCCGGUAAACGGCGGCCGUAACUAUAACGGUCCUAAGGUAGCGAAAUUCCUUGUCGGGUAAGUUCCGACCUGCACGAAUGGCGUAAUGAUGGCCAGGCUGUCUCCACCCGAGACUCAGUGAAAUUGAACUCGCUGUGAAGAUGCAGUGUACCCGCGGCAAGACGGAAAGACCCCGUGAACCUUUACUAUAGCUUGACACUGAACAUUGAGCCUUGAUGUGUAG